GACGAACGCUGGCGGCGUGCCUAACACAUGCAAGUCGAACGGAAAGGCCCUGCUUUUGUGGGGUGCUCGAGUGGCGAACGGGUGAGUAACACGUGAGUAACCUGCCCUUGACUUUGGGAUAACUUCAGGAAACUGGGGCUAAUACCGGAUAGGAGCUCCUGCUGCAUGGUGGGGGUUGGAAAGUUUCGGCGGUUGGGGAUGGACUCGCGGGUGAUCAGCUUGUUGGUGGGGUAGUGGCUUACCAAGGCUUUGACGGGUAGCCGGCCGGAGAGGGGGACCGGCCACAUUGGGACUGAGGUACGGCCCAGACGGCAACGGGAGGCAGCAGUGGGGAAUAUUGCACACUGGGCGGAAGCCUGAUGCAGCGACUCCGCGUGCGGGAUGACGGCCUUCGGGUUGUAAAACGCUUUCGCCGGUGACGAAGCGUGAGUGACGGUAAUGGGUAAAGAAGCACCGGCUAACUACGUG
rnacentral:rRNA from 1 species